rnacentral:lncRNA from 1 species
AAGGUAAUACAAUGUAUUUAAACCUAUUUGGGCCAAUAAACAAAGGCUGAAAAAAAUUGGUCCAGGAUCUCCUUUUUAGAAACAACGUUUGUAAAUUGUCAGCUCCUUGGGUAAAAGUUUUAAGGUGAAAAUAAGUAAAAACUUUAUUAGUUCAUCUUAUGUGGAUAACAUAAAUCUAGUAACAAAAACUAAAUGUAGGAAACUUCUAAAAGGCAAAAGCUAAAUUAGUUGAACUUAGGUAAAUUCAGAAACUCUGAUUAAAAUAUCAGCAUGCAGAAUCCAAAUGUAAGUUGUAAGAAUUGUGCAACAUGAAGUAAUUUGUAUGGAAUGCCCAGAACCAAAAUGUUCUGGUUUACUUAUAAAUAUAGGCUAACUGACAAAAAAUUGAAUCACUGCAACUAUAAUUCAUUGUCAUAGUUUAUCUUAGAUUUAUACGACUUAGAGUAGGAAAUAUCACAUGAUUUAAUCAAUUCUAAGAAGACUUUGGCAUUUGGAAAUCAGAAUGCAUCUCAAAAUUGGUAGCUUCUUACCAUCACUUUCCACUAGGUGACUGUCAUGAUGUAGUGCUAGCAUCAGAGGUAUCAGUUACAGAGUUCCCAUUGUGGCUCAGUGGUAACGAACCCGGCUACUAUCUAUGAGGAUGUGGGUUCGAUCCCUAUCCUUAACCCACUGAAUGAGGCUAGGGGUUAAACCCGCAUCCUUAUGGAUUCUAGUUGGGUUCAUAACCCACUGAGCCACAACGGGAACUCCCAGAAUUGCUCUUUUAAUAAUAAAAUGUAACACAAAGUAGAAUACUUUGAUCAUUUUAAUAGAAUAAGCCAUCAACUGGCUAGUAUCUCACUCCUGGGUACCAUAUUUGCAGGCUAACUAGGAGAUGGGGAGGUGGUGCCUUAUCCCAGCAUUUCUAAAAUUAUCUCAGAAAUCACCAGUACUUAAUAACACUUCAAAAACAAGGGGAAUUCUCUGGUUAAAGAAGCUCAUGAAGCAACAUCUUCACAAUCCCCACUUAAGGAAUGUGCAAAAGCACCUCAUCAAGACUGAAGUGUAUUCUAGUGAAGAAAAAUUUUUCAACUUUGUUUAAAUUGGUAUAUCUCAAACUUUACCUUGGAAAUAACAAUUCUUAUUACUCAUUAUCAUCCUAAGGAAGUGAAACUGCAUUGGGAAAUGCUGCAAAAUCUAAAAGAGACUUUACAGUAAAGUUGGAAAUUUCAGUCACCAGGUCUGGUUGUUAGCUAAACAGGGUGGCAGUUAGCUCCUGCUUUCAGUUAACCUUCUAACAUUUUCUAUUAUUUGUGAGUAAAAAAUCUUUGUUGUAUAUAAGUAGGCAUGGCUCCUGAGUUUUGUCAAAUGCCAUUUCAUCAUCUCUCCUGCAGUUUUAGAGUAGUUUGUUAAUGUGAUAAUUUAUACCUACAGACUCUCUGUCCUCUUUCCAUUCCUAGGUAUACCAAGGUUAAUCACUGGUGUGUGUGUGUGUGUGUGUGUGUGUUUGUGUGUGCGUGCGCGCUACGCUGCUUGAUUUCAUUUGCUACUAUUUUAUUUAGAAUUUUUACAUCUCAUGAGUGGGACCAUAUAGUAAUUUUCUAAAUGUAUUUUUGUUUGUUUUUGUAUUGCAAUUACCUGUUCUCUAAAAUUGCAUGACUGUAUUGGUUUUUUUGUUUGGUUGGUUGUUUUGAAUUGGAGAUCCUUAAUUAGUUUUCUAGUUCCAUCUGUGGAUUAAGGAUUAAGGCAGUAGGGUAAGGAUUCAGGUAUUGUCUGCAGCGGCUCAGAUCACCGCUGAAGUGCUGGUUUGAUCCCCUCUCUGGUUCAGUGGGUAAAGGAUCCCGCAUUAUAGAGAUUCUUUUCACUUCUCUGCUAUAUUGAACUUCUAGUUUUCUACUCAUUCUCCAGUUGCUUUCUUAGAAGGGGUGAUUUUUUAAAUAACUCAUGUGGUAAAAAGGUUAUUCUGGGAGUUCCCAUCGUGGUUCAGUGAUAACAAGUCUCCAUGAGGAUGUGGAUUCGAUCCCUGGCCUUUCUCAGUGGGUUAAGGAUCCAGCGUUGCUGUGGCUGUGGUGUAGGCCGGCAUCUACAGUUCCGAUUUGACUCCUAGCCUGGGAACUUCCAUAUGCUGAGGGUGCGGCCCUAAAAAGACAAAAAAACAAACCAAAAAAAACCAGUUAUUCUGUCCUUCUGUUUCCACUGUCCUUAUUUUGGCCAGGAGGUUCUUGGGCAUGUUCUUUUUAAGGUGCAUGGCAGAAGCACCAAUGGCUGUGCCGAAGCAUCUUUAAUGUCUCUACCCUCACCCGCAUCAGCCCACAUUCUGUUGAUUAGACAAGUCAGAUGGACAAGCCCAACAUUAAUAGAGCAGGGGCAAGCCAUGCCAAGGGCAGAGUAAAGAAUUGUGGAAAAACACUGUAAGCUCCCAGACUCAUAACAACAUAGCUUGGAUCCUUUCGCCGCAGCACAACCCACUGCAGGGGUAGCUGAGCAAUAGUUAGUAAUUUCAACAAUAAUAAUUUAUCUCCAUGAUGUUAGUUAGUUGAGAAACAUAAAUCUUUCCUAUAACCAUACUCAGAGUUGCUAUACAGAUUUAUAAAGUCAUAUAUAUUUCUUACUUUAAAAACUAGCGAGGACUUCCCUGGUAGCCUGGCAGGUUAAGGAUCCAGCGUUGUCACUACUAUGGCGUGAGUGGCUGGGGUCACUGUUGUGACGUGGGUUUGAUCCCUGGCCUGUGAACUUCUGCAUGCCAUUGGCAUGGCCAGAAAAAGUAUAAAUGUCUGUUUAUGAAUAAUUGUGGAGAGAAUUACAGGGAAGAUGGACAGAACUCUGUACAUUAAGGUGCUUUUUAAUAUCCAAAGUUGAAGACCUUUCUUCAUACGAACUUCCUGAAAAUGUGACCCCCCCACCACCACGUGAGCACGUUGUGACAAAGAAAUAAAAAGUGUGGACAGACAA